GACCACGUAGCUCAGUUGGUAGAGCAUUGGGCUAGUAUUCCAAAGGUCGUAGGUUCGAUUCCCACCGUGGCCG
rnacentral:tRNA from 1 species